rnacentral:rRNA from 1 species
UACGUAGGGGGCAAGCGUUGUCCGGAAUCAUUGGGCGUAAAGAGCGUGUAGGCGGUCCGGUAAGUCGGCUGUGAAAGUCCAGGGCUCAACCCUGGGAUGCCGGUCGAUACUGCCGGACUAGAGUUCGGAAGAGGCGAGUGGAAUUCCCGGUGUAGAGGUGAAAUUCGUAGAUAUCGGGAGGAACACCGGUGGCGAAGGCGGCGAUCUGGGUAGAUACUGACGCUGAGGUGCGAAAGCGUGGGGAGCAAACAGG